UACGGAGGGUGCAAGCGUUACUCGGAAUCACUGGGCGUAAAGGAUGCGUAGGCGGAUAAUCAAGUCAAAAGUGAAAUCCUACAGCUCAACUGUAGAACUGCUUUCGAAACUGGUUAUCUAGAAUAUGGAAGAGGCAGAUGGAAUUAGUGGUGUAGGGGUAAAAUCCGUAGAGAUCACUAGGAAUACCGAUUGCGAAGGCG
rnacentral:rRNA from 1 species